rnacentral:rRNA from 1 species
GUGCGUAACGCGUAUACAAUCUGCCUUUUAUCCGGGGGAUAGCCCGAAGAAAUUUGGAUUAAUACCCUAUGGUAUAAGAGCACGGCAUCGUGCACUUAUUAAAGCUACGGCGGUAAAAGAUGAGUAUGCGUUCUAUUAGCUAGUUGGAGAGGUAACGGCUCCCCAAGGCGACGAUAGAUAGGGGUUCUGAGAGGGAUGUCCCCCACACUGGUACUGAGAUACGGACCAGACUCCUACGGGAGGCAGCAGUGAGGAAUAUUGGACAAUGGUCGGAAGACUGAUCCAGCCAUGCCGCGUGCAGGAUGACGGCCUUAUGGGUUGUAAACUGCU